rnacentral:rRNA from 1 species
CCUACGGGAGGCAGCAGUGGGGGAUAUUGCACAAUGGGGGAAACCCUGAUGCAGCGACGCCGCGUGUGGGAAGACGGUCCUCUGGAUUGUAAACCACUGUCCCCAGGGACGAAGAUGACGGUACCUGGGGAGGAAGCUCCGGCUAACUACGUGCCAGCAGCCGCGGUAAUACGUAGGGAGCAAGCGUUGUCCGGAAUUACUGGGUGUAAAGGGAGCGUAGGCGGGAUGGCAAGUUGGGUGUUAAAUCUACCGGCUCAACUGGUAGUCGCACUCAAAACUGCUAUUCUUGAGUGAAGUAGAGGCAGGCGGAAUUCCUAGUGUAGCGGUGAAAUGCGUAGAUAUUAGGAGGAACACCGGUGGCGAAGGCGGCCUGCUGGACUGUGACUGACGUUGAGGCCCGAAGGCGUGGGGAGCAAACAGGAUUAGAUACCCCAGUAGUC